CAACAACAGGGGUGACAAGACCAAGCCCCAAUAGGAAACGACAACUCUCAACCGAACCAGUGGAAGCGGCGGAUACUCAAAGUAUUGCUGAACACUUGAAAGCCAUCACUGAAGAGCUACACAAAAGCAGGCCAAAUUUCAAGAACAUCAAGUGGAGGAUGGAAAGGACUCUGCAUGCACGAACUCCACUCUAUAAGACCUCUACAGCUGCAGAGCUAUUCCAGCAGUGUCCAUUCCUAAAAGUCCCUUGUCUGCUACUUUACGAAAUGAAGCUAAGAUUUGGCCAGGACUUGGACUUGGUGCUUAGCAGUUACCUGCAUAAUGCUGCUGAGAAGAUAGUUGAG